rnacentral:rRNA from 1 species
AUUGAACGCUGGCGGCAGGCCUAACACAUGCAAGUCGAGCGGAUGAAGGGAGCUUGCUCCUGGAUUCAGCGGCGGACGGGUGAGUAAUGCCUAGGAAUCUGCCUGGUAGUGGGGGAUAACGUCCGGAAACGGGCGCUAAUACCGCAUACGUCCUGAGGGAGAAAGUGGGGGAUCUUCGGACCUCACGCUAUCAGAUGAGCCUAGGUCGGAUUAGCUAGUUGGUGGGGUAAAGGCCUACCAAGGCGACGAUCCGUAACUGGUCUGAGAGGAUGAUCAGUCACACUGGAGCUGAGACACGGUCCAGACUCCUACGGGAGGCAGCAGUGGGGAAUAGUGGACAAUGGGCGAAAGCCUGAUCCAGCCAUGCCGCGUGUGUGAAGAAGGUCUUCGGAUUGUAAAGCACUUUAAGUUGGGAGGAAGGGCAGUAAGUUAAUACCUUGCUGUUUUGACGUUACCAACAGAAUAAGCACCGGCUAACUUCGUG